AUACGUACGCAGCUCCUCUCGUGUGUGUUGUGGCUGUGCAUCCUGACUUCCUGCUAACACUCACUGGGCUCCAGUGUGCUCCAUGACGCCUCGUACGAGGUCAGAUAGAGGACAGCAACCCCACUUCCCAUUCCCAUUCGAAACCUCAACCCCCAUUGCUACGGCAGACCAGCUUACGCUUCCCAGAAUGCACCUCUCCAGCUAGCUGACCCCGGGGUCGGCAGCUGUCAAUCACGCCCUCAGCUGGCUCUGCAGCUUCUGGACAUAGACUGGAGGAUGUGAGGGAGGCCUCUGAGAGGAGCCCUGGCUCUGCAUAUGGGAUCAUCUCUGUGCAUUCAUGGCGGAGCUCAAAAUGGAAUCAAAUGGGGCUUAUGAGGCCUCUCAGCCCAAAUGGACCUCAUGUUUACACACUUGUCCAUCAGCUGAACAGCGUGCGGCCUCAGGUAUCCAGAGAGAUGGUGAGAUGUACCCAAAACCAACGGUAUCGUGUCUGAACCUGGUAAGUGCACUGUGUUUAGACGAGGUUUGUCUAGAUUGGAGAUAACAUGUCAGUAUCAAAAGCCUUUUAUCUUACUGCUGAGUCAAACUCUUUCUGAGGAUAUUCAGUCAGUUUUUGAGCAGCAUGUUAAAAAUUAAUAACAUCUUGUGCUCUGCUCUAUGGACGAAGCCUAUUUUUCUGCUUUUUCUUUAGAUAUUGUUAAUAUGUUUAUAUUGACUUUUAUCAAAACAGUUGUCAGCUGAGUUCAAGUAAAAGUCCCACAAAGAUUUCAGCUUUAUAUUGCAAUAAUUAAAACUGUAUUUCACUGCAAGCAGGGGCAUGUUAUGACCUUCAUAACUGUUGUUUUGCUGUUUCCAUCAUUUCUAAAAGACAGUCAGUAUUAUUCAGUACAACCACAGGAAAUCAGCACCAUAGUUUAGAGUUGAAUGUCAAGGAAACGGCGAAGUGAAUUACAGUAGGCCUACACGUCGGGCAGACGCAUCGGUACAGUGAGAAAUAAGUAUUUUGUAUUUAUUCUGUUUGAUCAAUCUAGAAAUAAUACCCUAUGUUUCGACCUAGCUUUGUUGUUCUUGGAUGUCGCAAUAUGCUCAAGAUUGCCGAUCGAAUAAUCCUUUU
rnacentral:lncRNA from 15 species